rnacentral:rRNA from 1 species
CUACGGGUUGCAGCAGUGAGGAAUUUUGCGCAAUGGGGGAAACCCUGACGCAGCAACGCCGCGUGAGUGAAGAAGGCCCUUGGGUCGUAAAGCUCUGUCAAUGGGGAAGAAGUUAUUAUGUAUUAAUAGUGCAUUUUAUUGACGGUACCCAUGAAGGAAGCACCGGCUAACUCCGUGCCAGCAGCCGCGGUAAUACGGGGGGUGCAAGCGUGAUUCGGAAUUAUUGGGCGUAAAGGGCACGCAGGCGGUCCUGUCAGUCAGAUGUGAAAGCCCGGGGCUCAACCCCGGACGUGCAUUUGAAACAGCAGGACUUGAGUACGGGAGAGGAAAGGGGAAUUCCUGGUGUAGAGGUGAAAUUCGUAGAUAUCAGGAGGAACACCGGUGGCGAAGGCGCCUUUCUGGACCGAUACUGACGCUGAGGUGCGAAGGCGUGGGUAGCGAACGGGAUUAGAUACCCGCGUAGUC